rnacentral:rRNA from 1 species
AACGAACGCUGGCGGCAGGCUUAACACAUGCAAGUCGAACGCCCCGCAAGGGGAGUGGCAGACGGGUGAGUAACACGUGGGAAUCUACCCAUCCCUACGGAACAACCCCGGGAAACUGGAGCUAAUACCGUAUACGCCCUUUUGGGGAAAGAUUUAUCGGGGAUGGAUGAGCCCGCGUCGGAUUAGCUAGUUGGUGGGGUAAAGGCCUACCAAGGCGACGAUCCGUAGCUGGUCUGAGAGGAUGAUCAGCCACACUGGGACUGAGACACGGCCCAGACUCCUACGGGAGGCAGCAGUGGGGAAUAUUGGACAAUGGGCGCAAGCCUGAUCCAGCUAUGCCGCGUGAGUGAUGAAGGCCUUAGGGUUGUAAAGCUCUUUCGCCAGGGACGAUAAUGACGGUACCUGGAUAAGAAGCCCCGGCUAACUUCGUGCCAGCAGCCGCCGCGGUAA